AUCGUCUAACUCGGUUUUCUGCAUCGGUUUAGGGCUGUGAAAUUAGUUAAAUUGGAAUUGUCAAUCGACGGUAGGCUCUGAUUUAUUCAUGAUUGCUUUAGGUGGUAGCUCUGGUAUUCGGCGUUUUCGCGAUCAUCAGAUAGUUCGAGUUUUUUUGCAAUAGUUUGGUUUGUUGAUAUGAUGAUAAUUUGUCCAUCGUUCCAAUUUAUCGGACAAUUUUGGUGUCGGUUUUCCUUCUUGUUAAUGUUUCGAAAUUCACCUUGUUGUAGAAUUGGCAGAAUGGAGGAGAGAAGCGCUCUGUUGGAUGGAUUUGAAUGUGGUCUGAAAUUUGGGAGUUCUUCUCUAAUCCCCUCUUGGUCUUGGGUUGUUCUUAUCUUUGCUUGAUAAAGUCACCGCCUUUAUUUUAUGCGGUCACUGCUGACGAGCUCUAGGUGUUGUCUUGAUCUUAGGGGAGCUUGGAUUCAAAGGUUUGGUCGUGAUUAUUAUCCUGUUCUCCUGUUUUACAAAAUUUUGGGGGAGUUUUUCUUUCCCUACUUGUGGCUUUGUGCUAUUUUCCCGAACAACGAUUGGGAGUUUUUUUUUUGGAUAAUAAUGAUUGAAAAACCAUAGGAGUUAUCCAACAUACAUGACUUUGUUUGGUAUUCCAGUUUAUCUGACAAUUUGGCAUCACAUUACCGUAUUGUUGUUGUUGCUUAGAGAUUGGCCUUCCUUUUAGAACGGUGGAAUUCUGGCCUUACGAGGAGAGGAGAUGUUUUGACUGGUGCUCUAAAAUCGGGAAAUUUACCACCUUUUAGGGAGUUAUUAUUAUCUGGCUCUCCAUGUUGUCUUGAUCGUAGGGGAGCUUGGAGUUUUGGUCAUUGUAGUUACCCUGCUAUAUUGGUUUACGAGAUUUCAUAAAAGUUUGCUCUUUUCCUACUUUUUUUAAAAUUUUUUUUUUUUUUAAAGCUGUUUUUCCUUAGGACUGAUGGGGACCUUCUGGAUAUGGUGAUUGAUUUGCUCUGCAUCUACCUCGUUAGGAUUGAAGGAUUGAACAACUCAAGUUGUCUGUUUCAAAGGAACUAUUUAACUUCCUUGACAUGACUUUGGUUGCUGGAAUCUGGGUACAGAUGACUCGGAGGUUUGAUGACAACUUACGUCUCUUGUCCGAAAUCAAAGGCUUUUUGCAUUGUUAACAAAGGGAGUUCGCACUAUUUUUUCCUUUUUGCUUGAGCCAACUUAGUGGUUUUGACACCUGUAAAUAUCUCAUGUCCCCCCCCUUAAUGUUAGGAUCUUGGAAUUGAGACCUGUAUCUUCUAAUGCAUCCAAAGGCAUUUCCUCUUCAUAUUUUUAAGUAACUUUUUUUGCUCAUGUAUUUCUUUUUUUUUUGCUGACACUUUGUUUAAAGUUGUACUGAUUAUUGGUCUUGUUCCAGGGGGUUCCCCUUCAUCCCAACCUUUUUAGUUGUGGUUGCUCUAAGAGCUUCUAAAUGGUUGUUCGGGUUAUAUGUCCUCAGCUGUGUAGUAGGCGUUUUUUGGAAGGAGUUCUGUUUCUCCACCUGCAUACUUGAAGGUCGUCUCUUUAGGCGGAUGUGGAAUUUCAAGUUUUGCAAUACUGGGUUUGUUGUCAUUAUGUUUUUCUCAUACAUGACAAUUUAUUAUUGGAAGAUUUUGACAUCAGUUAACUUUAUUGAUAUGUUAUCUCUACAAAAUGAGUUGGGGGCACAACUAUCAGCAUUUAAAGAGUACGUGAAGGAGAGCUGUCCUAUCCAAGGGAUGUGACAGUUUAAAGUGUUUGAAAGUAUUUUUCAACAUUUCUAUGCUGAUUACUGUUUAUAACAAUCUAUAUUUGAAAGCCAACAGUUUGCGGGUCAUUUGACUUUGUAUACUCAUGGAUUUUUGGUGAUUUUGAGCUGUUGUUGUGGUAUCUCGGGGCUUCCUUCUUCCAAUCAAAGCUUAUCUUCCUUGUCUUGGAGGAGUCCUCUUCUACCUUGAGCUAAUUGCACCUAGUUGUUUUUGAACUUGGUGGUUUUGGGAAUAUUUUUAAUGUCCAUCUCUCAUCUGUACUAUAGUGGCUUGGAUUCAAGAUUGAUCGUUUAGUACUGUAGCUGUGAAUUAUCUUCAACAUGAUUCUUGAGCCAAAAAGUUGAGCAGUUCUUCUCUUUGAUACUUGGUGUGACUGGUUUUCUUAACCAACAGUGGACAGCUUUUGGUUAGUCAUAAACCCAUUCUGUCCUCUAAUUUGAUGAAGAAGUUUGUGUGGCUAAAAUGUCUGAAAAGAGCUAUCAACACCCUUAUGCUUAUUACUUCCAAGUCUGUUUGUCUAUCUUCAUUUUAGGAAGAAGCUUGGAAUUAAAGAACUCACUGGGUUAAAGUGAUUGAAUGGCGUUCUCUGCUUCUUUGGAGCAUUACAUUUUUUUUUUGGAAUCAUCUGUAAGGACUUUCUGUGUUUGUUGUGUACGAUCUUGGGUUUGUGUCUCCCUGUUUUCAUCGAGAUCUUUGCUUUCUUCUUCUGAGCCUAACACCAUUUACAUUGUUUUGGAGGAACUCUUUUCUGCCUCUGACUAAUUGAUCCUCUGUGCAUGAUCAAUUUUCAGUUUUCUAUUGAUGUUGAUGUCUCCUCUCUAUUGUUGGAACUGGGGUGCAAGAUGGGUGUUGUGCUUGAAGAUUUCCUAGGCUCUUUUAUCUGCUUCUUGAUAAUUUGGCGAAUUCAUUCUGCUGUUUGGCGCAGCAUUACAAUUUAUCCAUCUGCAUGAUGUUGUGAGAGAAAAUGGGAGUCUCUUUGUCCCUACUUUCCUUCUGAGCUUUUCUUGAUGAAAUAGUGGAUAACAUGUCAUCUUCAUUUUGGAAGGAGCUUGGAUUUGGUGAGCUCAGUGAUGUCAUUAAAAUAAUUGAAAGGAGUUCUCUGCUUCCUCGUGUAUUACUUUGUUUGAAGAUUGACAGUUCUGGGAUUAUCUGUAACAACUAUAUAUCUACAUCUUAGGAUCUUGGGUUUCAACCAUGCUGUUGUCAUUUAGAUCUUAGGCUUUCUUUUGUCAAAGGAUAUUUACAUCAUUGAAGGUCAAACUAAUUGUUUGUUUGUGGUUGAUCAGUUAUUGGUUUUGGGGAUGUUAUUGACGAAUAUGUUUCCUUUACUCCAGCAGCUUGCAUUCAAGUGACAUCCCAGGCUCUUUUAUCUGCUUUUGAUUUUUUGUUGGAUUCAUUCUUUCAUUGGAGCAAUAAUUAUUUUUAAUUAUUUGGGGUGGCAGUGAAUUCUACUGUGCUGUAAUGCGGAGAGAAUUGCAAGUCCUGUGUUGUGGUUUACAUGAUUUUGCGGGAGAGCCGGAGUUUUUUGCUUUCCCUGCUUUUGCUGUUAGGUUUCUCUGAACAAUAAUGGACAGUUUCUGGUUAAAUUUUGAGAGGCUUCAUCAUCAUCAUUUUAGGAAUUGAAGAAAGUCAGUGUGCAGUUAUAAAGUGAUUGAAAGGUGUGUGUGUAUUACUUUGUUUUGGGUUAUCUGUAACGCCUUCGCAUAUUUGUUUUAGGAGUUUAAAUUGGUCUGAGCUGUUGUAGUGACAUCUUCGGUCUCCUUUAGAUUAAAGGCUAUCCACGUUGGUUUGAAAGGAAUUCUAUUCUGCCUAAACUAAUUGUGUCAGUGGUUGACAAUUGACGAUUUUUGGGAUGUGGUAGCAUCUGUGUCUUGUUUGUAUUCUAGGAGCUCAGGUUCAAGAUUGCUUUUUUGGUAACAUCUCUGGCUGUUUUAUCUGCUUUUGAAGCUCGUACUGGUCGGCAUAGUUUCACGAAUAACGCCCAUUCCUGGUUAUUUGGUGUGGUUAUGAAAUAAUUAUUCAUUCUGAUGCAAUUACUAAUUGCAGUUCACCAGCUUAAGUAAUAAAUAUAUGUUUUUUCCUGGUCUAUGAGUUGAUUUCAGAGGUUGAGGACUAGUUAUUUUAGUUUCUAUGGUGUAUUUACAGCAGCUGGUCCUUUUUUUGUUGCUGCAGAGAAUACAGUGACUGGAUGCUACUUGCUUUGCUAACACCUUUGAUAUAUGCAGUCUUAGUGUUGAUAAUAAAUGCUUUGGACUGUCGGACCCUGUAGAUUGCCGGGUUGAUUGAUGAACUGUCAAUUCUACUCUUUCAAGUACUUGCUACAAUUCUUGUUCUGCAACUUUCACAGUGGUUUUCAAAAUUUUCAAAUGGUCUUCUGGAGGGUUUUCCUUGGGUUUGGAGAAUUGUGGGUUCAGCUAUACAAAAUGGUGGUCAUCUAUUAUAUUUGUGGAACUGCUAAGAGGUGGUUGUGUUAGUAUUUGAUAAUCUACACUUCUGUUGGUGGUCUAUCAUGUCAUGUUGCUUUGCACACAUUUGUGGUUCUCCUCCUGCUUGUUUGGCUGGAUAUGCGUAUUUAAAAGAGCUUCUAAAGUUAAAGAAGUGAAGGUUUCCUCUUACUCAGGAGCUGACCUUCAUCCCAAACUCAGUUCUGUUUGCUCUGAGGAGGUAACUGGCAUCAUCAAUUACGCUGUCUUGCUCAAUUAGGGUGUGAAUUCGCUUGUUUUUGUCCUGUUGUUACCAGCAUUUACAUGAUUUCGGAGAGCUUCUCGUCAUAUGCAUCGUGAUGGUUGGGUUGGCUUCUGAAUGGUUGUUCAGGUUGUAUGUCCUCCUCUUCAUGUUAGGAGCUUAGGUUGAAGAACUCAUCCGUGUAGUGGGCAUUGUUUGGAAGUGGUUCUGGUUCUUUAUCUUUAUUACUUGAAUGUUGUCUCUUUAGGCAGCUGUGGAAUUUCAAGUUUCGCAAUGUUUGGUAUGUAAUCAUUUUUUAUGGUUCUCUCUUAGAUGACAAUUUGUUAUUCAAGGAUUUGAGAUCAGUUAACUCUAUUUAUAUGUUAUUUCUAUAAAAUGAGAGUUGGUGGCUUAACUAUCAGCAUUUAGAGAAUAUGUGAAGGAGAGCUAUCCAAGGGAUGUGACAGUUUAAGAGUGUUUGAAUGUAGUUCUCUGUGUCUCCACACUGAUCACUGUGUAUAACUGUUUGAAAACCAACAGGUUCUGUGCCAUUUGACUUUGUAUACUUGUGGAUUAUUGACAAUACCAGGCUGUUGUAGUGAUACCUAAGGGCUUCCUUCUUGCAAUCAAAGCUGUAUACCUUGUUUUGGAGCAGUCUUCUUCUACCCUGAGCUAAUUGUUGCUGAAGUUGGUGGUUUUGGGAAUGUUUUUAAUGUCCAUCUCUCAUCUGUGCUGUGCUGUAGGGGCUUGGAUUCAAGGAACUGUGGUACAAGAUGGGUGUUGUGCUUGAAGAGACUCUAAGCCCUUUUAUUGCUUCUUGAUUAUUUGUCGAAUUCAUUCUGUUGUUUGGUGUGGCAGUAAAAUCUACCUCUCCGUAAUGUGGGUGAGAAGUGCAAGUCUAUGUUCUCUUGUUCAUGAUUUUGCAAGAGAAAAUGGGAGUUUUCUCCUUCCCUGUUUUUCUCCUGAGGUUUUCUUUGACCAAAUAGUUGACAUGUCAGGUUGACUAAGAUCUAUGUCAUCUUUAAUUUGGAAGGAUCUUGAAUUCGAGGAGCUCAGUCAUGUCGCUAAAGUAACUGAAAGGAGUUCUUUGCUGCCCUUCAUGUAUUACUUUGUUUGAAGAUUGACAGUUUCUGGAUUAUCUAUAAAAUUCAUUCUUUCUUCACUGGUUUAAUGAAUAAUCUUUCUUAAUCAUUUGGUGUGGCUGUAAAUUCCAUGUUCUGUAAUGUGAUGAGAAUUGCAAGGGCUGUGUUGUGGUCUAAAUGAUUUUGAAGGAGAACCAGAGGAGUAAUUUCCUUUCCCUAUUUUUCAUAUUGGGUUUCUGUGAACAAUAAUGAACUGUUUCUGGUUAUCUAUUGAAAUGCUCCUGUUCAUCAUCAUUUUAGGAAGGAGGUUGGAAUUGAAGAAGUCAGUUGUGUGGUUAAAGUGAUUGAAAGGACUGUGUAUUAGUAUGUCUUAGGCUAUCUGUUAUGCCUUUGCAUAGUUGUUUUACGAGUUUCAAUUGGUUGGAGCGGUUGUAGUGACAUCUGUGGCCUCCUUCAGAUUAGAGGCUAUCCAUAUUGGUUUGAAGGAAUCCUAUUCUAUCUAAAUCAAUUGUUUGUUAGUGCUUGACAAAAUCCCUGGCUGUUUCAUCUGCUUUUGAAGUUUGUACCAUUAGUCGCUGAGUUUCAUGGAUAAUAUCCAUUCCUGAUUAUGUGGUGCAGUUGCUAAAUAAUUGGAUGCAAAUACUAAUUUCUGUUCAUCAGCUUAAUCUGGAAAUAAUUUUUUUUCAUGGUUUAUGAGUUGGAUUUUUUCUUAUUCUGGAGGUCUGGGACUUUUUUAUCUUAAUUUCUGUGGUGUAUUUAUAGCAGAUUGAGCAUGUAUUGGAGGUUUUGGCUAUUUUCUGAUGAAGUUUGCUAAGUCUUUAGCAAAGUUGAUUAAAGUGCUGCUGUUGUAUGCCGGUGAUUUAACUUUUUUUUACUCCAACCUGCUUAUGAUCCUGCAGUCAGAAAAUGGGGCUUCUUUUCCUACUGUUCUCCACUGUUGAUAUAAAAGAAGCUGAGGCACCAGUUUCAAGGGGAUAAAAAUGAGAUAGAAAAUGUUUUCAUAUUUUUGAGGCCUUGUCUGACACUUGUAGGGCUCCAAUCCUAUUGUUUUUGCUGCAACUUAAAGGUGCCUUGUGUUUCUUCCAAGUUUGAUUCAAGCUUUCACCUGAGCGUAUCCAUUUACUUGUGAGUUAAGUUAUGCAUCCUCAGCUUUUUGUUGUGGCAUGAAUCUGAGUGUAGAAUUGUGUGUGGAAGACAUUUAUUUCUUUAUUUUCUUGAUGAAUUUUACAAUCAGGUUAGAUUGUUACAAAUUGGCAGGAAAACAGAUAAAGAAGAUUAAAUAAGGUAAUUACAUUUAUGUAGGCGUUGAUUAUAUGCUAUAGGUGCAUGCAGACAAGAUUUUUCUAUAAUCUUAAAUGAGAGAGCAGAUCAUUCAGGUGUAUUAGAGUUGUGGGUUAUUUCUUUUUCCAGAACAUACAUUUUAGCAGACAUCCUUGCUCCCAGUUCUAGUGAAAGCUACCCAGGAAAUUGAUAAAUCUUGUUUUUAUGUUGGUUCAUCAUGUUAUUUGUUGAGAUUGCUCUGUGAGGUUUGUUGCAUGUCUAUUCAUGAAUAUGUGCGGGAAUGGAAUUUUCUCUGCGUAUGCUCUUUUUUUAGGCCCUUGGAAACGGAUUGCAUUCUCUUGUGCUGGAGUCUCCUUGCAGCAUCUGCACCAACUUUUGAUAGUGUAGCCGGUCCCAAGCCCGGAAAUAAGGAGGAGGGAAAGCUGCUCUUUUGUUGGUUGCUACACUAUAAUGGCUGAUGUAGUAGAGCUUUUUUUAGAUGUUGAAUACAUGUGAAUGGCUGAUGUUGAACUUAGUAUACUAGUAGAGCUUUUCUUGGAUGUUGAAUACAUAUGAAUAGCCUAAGAAGGCUAUUAUCUUAUCCAAGUAAUGGCUGAUGUUCUUGUGUAUGCUGUCUUGUGAUUCCUCCUACUUUUAAGUGUAGCUCGCGAAAAUCUUCAGUGUCCUCUGGACUUGAAAUAGAUGUAAUUGAGAAAAUUAUUGCAAUACGGUUUGGUGGUUUCUCCAA